rnacentral:rRNA from 1 species
UACGUAGGGGGCGAGCGUUGUCCGGAUUUAUUGGGCGUAAAGAGCGUGUAGGCGGCCAGGUAGGUCUGCUGUGAAAACUCGGGGCUUAACUCCGGGCCUGCAGUGGGUACGGGCAGACUAGAGUGCGGUAGGGGAGACUGGAAUUCCUGGUGUAGCGGUGAAAUGCGCAGAUAUCAGGAGGAACACCGGUGGCGAAGGCGGGUCUCUGGGCCGUAACUGACGCUGAGGAGCGAAAGCGUGGGGAGCGAACAGG